rnacentral:rRNA from 1 species
UAAUACCGGAUAGUUCCUUGAACCGCAUGGUUCAAGGAUGAAAGACGGUUUCGGCUGUCACUUACAGAUGGACCCGCGGCGCAUUAGCUAGUUGGUGAGGUAACGGCUCACCAAGGCGACGAUGCGUAGCCGACCUGAGAGGGUGAUCGGCCACACUGGGACUGAGACACGGCCCAGACUCCUACGGGAGGCAGCAGUAGGGAAUCUUCCGCAAUGGACGAAAGUCUGACGGAGCAACGCCGCGUGAGUGAUGAAGGUUUUCGGAUCGUAAAGCUCUGUUGUUAGGGAAGAACAAGUGCAAGAGUAACUGCUUGCACCUUGACGGUACCUAACCAGAAAGCCACGGCUAACUACGUGCCAGCAGCCGCGGUAAUACGUAGGUGGCAAGCGUUGUCCGAAAUUAUUGGGCGUAAAGGGCUCGCAGGCGGUUUCUUAAGUCUGAUGUGAAAGCCCCCGGCUC